rnacentral:snRNA from 2 species
UUACUUACCUGGACGGGGUCGACGGGCGAUUAAGAAGGCCCGUGGCCUGGGUCAAUGGCGCACAUUGCACUUGGUGGGUGCGUUGGCCCAUCAUCUCCUCAAGUGGGAGAAUGAACGUCAUAAUUUGUGAUAGAGGGGUACGCGUUCGCGCGCCCCUG